AGCACUUUCAUACUGAACGAGAUAAAGAAGAAAGAAACAAAGCUCAGUGCACCAUUAGCCAAAACUAGAUUUUCUUUUGAUUUAAGGUAGUUCUUGAUUACAGCCUCAGUCUUUACUUGAAAUAAAUUCAUAGCUUUGUGAAUUUCAUUUUAAAGCCAGUAAUUCUGAAUUAAAGAAUUGUGUAGGAUCAUGGAGAAAACUGGUCAUGUUCCAAAAUGGAUAACUGCUAGAGACCCCAAGAAUGUCUUCUAUGGUAUGAUUUUCUCCAUCAGAGAGCUUAGAUCUUAGAUAUUCUUCAAAGAAACGUGUGAUAGAGUUGGUCUCCAGCACACCGGCACUGGGAAUGAGGCCUGGAAGAUGUGGAAAGUCUUCUGCUCAGUGGAGGCAUUCCCUUGAAGGAGAUGUGGGGCUCAGCCUCUUCCUCUGCUGUUCUUUUACUGUCCAGCCAUGAGAAUUACGCACUGAAACAUGAAGACAGCAGUGAAAUACGAACAAAAAUACCAUGAAAAG